AUAUUCGGAUUUCGGUCUUAGGUAUCCGUCCUUGUCUCCGGGAAUAUUAUACCCACACAAGUUGUCAACAUCCGUUUUCAAAUUGUUCAAAGUGUUCUUCACAAUCUCCCUGGAAAAUAUUCACGCUAUCACUUCGUGCUCAGAUAAUAGAACAUUGUAAACCUCUAACAGCAAAUACGGACCAAAAUUAAACAAAUUUGAAAGCACGGAUGAUCACGUGUAAUGCCGACUGAUGGAGAAAGAUGUUCACUAUGGAUCAAAAUUUCAAAACAGAGGACCUUUUUAUUCAAACAAAAAUACUUGUACAUGUAUGAUAUUCUGUACAUACAACAAGAAAACAGUAAUCAAAUGGAAUGUCCAGUGAUGUUGAAAGCAAAAUUAUUUUUGUUAACAGAAAACAAUAGGACUACAAUAUAUUAAGGUACACAACACAUCAUGUCAGAAGAAUAAUUUUACUGGAGAAUAAAAAAUUUAAUACCUGGAAUCAGCAAUUUACAAAAUGUAUAUGAAACUUAUUAAGGAUGUUCGCUCCUCUUGUUUUUGAAUUUUUGCCAGAUAUUCGGAAUCCUCUGGUUUUAUCCAUGUAGUGCCAUUACAAAUUUUUGCCCACUAACCCCUAAUUUUCUUUUCAUAAUUUGAUUAAAUAUAGUUUUAAAUACCAUCUUUGAAAAUCUUUUUAAAUCCUUGUUAUUUUUUCAUACUUUUAUGCAGAAAAAAGGUGCCAAUGUUAAAUGCAUGAAAAAUCUAGAGAGAAUCAUUUCCCGCCAAAUUUUCAAUGGCUUAUAUCUCGAAAACAAGCACACAGACCUUUCAUUUUUAUCUGCUUUUUUAGUUCCUUUAUUUAUAUACUGUCAAUUUAUAACAGUCUUUUAAAAAGCUUAUUAUUUUGAAACAGAGUAGCGAACAUCCUUAAGAGAGAUAUAUUCAUGUACAGAAUGGUAACCCCACCAAAUAACCCAGGUGGUUCAAGUGAUUAUUAGCAGACAUUUUUGUUGAACUAAUGCAGGAUUAAAUAAAUGAAGCUUUAGCAGACUAUGGGCUCCAAAGUGUAGUAAAAAGAGGAUUUUUAAAUAUGUGAGACCCAUCAACAUUAAAAUGCGCAUAAGUGAAAUGUUACAAUAUUUAGUAAAAAAUUCAGAUUAUUGACUCAGUUGUUUUCAUGAAUUUUUUUAUCAAAGCAAUAUCACUGUUAUAUAAUUAAUAAGAUUCCAUAUG